GGGACCUAAGCUGACGAUGAGAUCACUUCCACGUGUGAUUCCACAGCCUUUUCUGAUUCCUUUCAUCAGGGUUUUUCUCCGCCUUUUGAAGGUAGAACACUGGAAAAUUGGUGUCUAAGCCAAGUGACAGAGUUACAUCACUACCAGAAAGGAGCCUGUUAGGAGCAGGUCUAUGCCCAAAUGUCAGAAGCCUUGGGAAUAAUAGGUGACAACCAUUUAUGGAAGCAUUUAUGACAAAAAUAUUCACAAAGGAGGCCUCAUACUGAAGGAGACAAGAGGGGUUAGCAUCAUCUGCCUUCACAUCUCCGGUAUUCGGCAGAAUAAGAUGUGUUACGAACAUUAAAUACCAGGGAAGAUGUGAGCCCAUGAUUUCAAGAACUCUUCAGUUUCCAAAUGACCUUUCUGUUGGAUAUCCUUUUUAUUGGAUAUGGCACAACAUGUUAUUUGGAAAUAAUAAGUUUUUAAAAGGUGUGCUUAUUUCUACCUACUUUUACCAACAAAAGACAAAUCAUAUAACUAGUUGCUUAUGGUCAUCUGUCCCAGUCCUAAUCUUCUUGAAGUCAAUACCGUUGAUGAGUUCAACAAUAUUGAGAAUGGGACUGAUUCUGUUGGCAGCUGAGAAGAGGAUUGGUUCUACUUGGAGGAUGAGUCAACUAAGGAUUUUUUUUCUCACUAAAAGUUCCUGAAAGUUUUCCCAGCCUGCCUGUGUAAUUAUAAUGCUGCAAGGCUGCUUUUCCUUAACACCUGCUAUGUACAGUCUCCUGAAAAAGCUUGUGAAAAUAGAUGGUGAAAUCCAUGCUUCAGAAUCACACAAGGAAGCACUUCCCUUUCCUGGAUGUCAGUGAGGAUUUGAGCCUCAGUGACCUGAGGUGCUGGACAGUGUUCCACACUGGCUCACUCAGCUUCUCCUGGACUUAGGUCACCUGAAGUUCCUGGGAUGUCAGUGAGAUUUCUCUGUGGAAGCCUCGGAGCCUGACCCUUCUGAAAAAGUGCGAAGAUGUGUGUGAUGCUUUUGCUAGUUUCUUUUGGUUUCUUUUCCUGUAGGUGAAGGAUAUGACUUUGAGAACUUCAUGCUCCCCCUCUCAGUUUCAUUUGAAAGUGUGACUCAGAUACUCAACAGUAGUGUUGAACAAGAAAAAUUAAAAGGUAGGGGUUUUUUCAAGUAUAGGAGAAGAAAUUAUUGAUGGGAAAAAAUAAUAGUGAGGCGAGGAUUCAGCAACAAGUCUGGCACCUUUUCUGUCAGUCUCCCUUGACUGUACAUACCUGUAUACUUAUAUACAUAUGGACUUAUAUACAUAUAUACAUGUGUACAUGUAUCUAAUUAGGAAUGUAGACAGUAGAGGUACAAAGGCUGAGUACUAUUCUAAAUAAACUUUGUACAAAGA